GAUUAGUUAGAAAGAAAGAUGGAUAGAUUAAUUAGGUAGAAAGAAAGAUAAAUAGAUUAGUUAGAAAGAAAGAAAGAUAGAUUAGUUAGAAAGAAAGAUGGAUAGAUUAGUUAGAAAGAAAGAUAGUUAGAUUAGUUAGAAAGAAAGAAAGAUAGA